GAUGAACGCUGGCGGCGUGCCUAACACAUGCAAGUCGAGCGAUUCUCUUCGGAGAAGAGCGGCGGACGGGUGAGUAACGCGUGGGUAACCUGCCCUGUACACACGGAUAACAUACCGAAAGGUAUGCUAAUACGAGAUAAUAUGCUUUUAUCGCAUGGUAGAAGUAUCAAAGCUUUUGCGGUACAGGAUGGACCCGCGUCUGAUUAGCUAGUUGGUAAGGUAACGGCUUACCAAGGCGACGAUCAGUAGCCGACCUGAGAGGGUGAUCGGCCACAUUGGAACUGAGACACGGUCCAAACUCCUACGGGAGGCAGCAGUGGGGAAUAUUGCACAAUGGGCGAAAGCCUGAUGCAGCAACGCCGCGUGAGCGAUGAAGGCCUUCGGUCGUAAAGCUCUGUCCUCAAGGAAGAUAAUGACGGUACUUGAGGAGGAAGCCCCGGCUAACUACGUG
rnacentral:rRNA from 1 species